rnacentral:lncRNA from 1 species
AGAUGCAUGCAGUGUGCAUAUGACAACCGCUAAAAUUUGAGGAUGCAAGUGUUAUAACGGAUGUGUGCUCAUUGGUACAAUAACACUUCAACAUGGUAUUGUUGGUGGAGGUUGCUUAUGAGCAAGCAGGAGUGCCCUGAGUGAUUACUUACUGAUAGAUACAAUUCUGCAGCAUGGAUAUGUGUAUAUUGUGCUACUAUUCAUGGAGGCUGUUAGCAAAUAAUGCAAUUAAAGAUCGAACACGAUAUACAGAUUUUACGUGCAAAAACCC